UACGUAGGGUGCGAGCGUUGUCCGGAAUUAUUGGGCGUAAAGAGCUUGUAGGCGGUCUGUCGCGUCUGCUGUGAAAAUCCGGGGCUCAACCCCGGACUUGCAGUGGGUACGGGCAGACUAGAGUGUGGUAGGGGAGACUGGAAUCCUGGUGUAGCGGUGAAAUGCGCAGAUAUCAGGAGGAACACCGAUGGCGAAGGCAGGUCUCUGGGCCACUACUGACGC
rnacentral:rRNA from 1 species